UCUCUCUCUUUCUCUCUCUCUCUCUCUUUCUCUCUGGAUAUGUACCUUAGGAGGCCUGAGUUAACAUGUAAGAUGUCUAACUAUCCCGAAGCCACUAUGCUGGAAGGAUCACAUGGAGAGACCACAUAGAGAUACAAAGAUGCCUGAGGAAACCCAGCUGUUCAGCACAGAUGUUUUUUAGUUUUCCCGUUGCCCAGGCAUGCGAGUGAGUGAGCUUUCCAAAGACUUUAACCCCAGCCUUUGAGCUGCCAGAGCUGACAUGAAGUAGAACAGAGAUGAGCUGAGCUUUGCCCCACCUGCAGAUGUAACUUCCCACAUACACCCCUUUUGGCUGAGCUGUAUGGCCAUAAGCGUAGAGACUUGCAGCUGUAUGUGGCCGUGAAUGAGAGAAAUUUACUGGAAUAAAUUCUCUAGACCCAGAGAUGGAAGCUUCACAGCAUUUGUGGCAGUAGCGGCAGAAAUGCAUCACACAUUUGAGUCCCUAGAUGGCCUUGUGGAGAAACGUCUACCUGCCACCCUGGACUAUUAGUUCCAUCACAGACAUGAAAAAGAUGCAGGCAAGAUAUGGAGUGUCUUCAUGGGGGAGAUUCAGAAGCCAUGGAUGGUGUAGAAAGAAAUAUUCUUCAAACAAAACCUUAUGAGGAACAGAACCAUAGCUCCUGAAACUGUGUGAAAGCAAGAGAAAGAGAGUCUUUUGUCAAUAGUCUGUCCACACAUAUCCAGACCCAACCCAAAGUUACAACCUGACCUCCACGAUCACUUUCCCUCACAGGGACCGCACUAUGAGGAACACGCCAAAGUUGAGAAAGGGUAAGAUUCUUGCCCAACCUCAAGACCAGUGCUAUUCUCUUCACGCCAAGGCAGGAAGAUCACUGAAGCCCAGAAGUUCGAGGCUAAAAUGAGCUAUGAUUGUGCCAACGCACUUCAUCCUAGGCAACAUAGCAAAACCCUAUCUCUAAAAUAUAAACAAGUAAAAUAAAUUUAAAAAUAAUUGUGGCGUGUGGCAAUUAUUGAUAAUGCCUCAUAGCCCCAAAUUCAUCCCUGGUUGCCUUCCCUGUGAAAAUAAAUCUAGGCCCUUCACCUUUAUUUUUUUCUUUUUUGGCUAUCAUGAUGCUAAACUUAUCAGUAGAGGGCAAUACAAAGACAUUUCAAGAAGGCAGAGGCUUCCCUCCUGGUAGUGCACUUUUUCCCCACUGUCUAUUCCACGUGGUUUUCACCAUUGUCAAGGGCUUAGAGGGUACAGCUUUCACAGUGUGUUUUCUACAGUUCUUGACUCAGGAAACAAUGGCAUAGUGGAAGCCCCAGAAAAAUCUGACCUGUGCGCUAGCCCUGUUAACUGCUGCCCACAACCCUGAGUGAUAUGAAUGUAAGGGGUACUGUGGAGCUGAUAAUCAGCAAGCUUGUGGCAUGACCUCCAUCCUGUGUAGCCCAGAGCCACCCUACCCAAGCCACAAAUAGAAAAGCUCUGGGUUUUGAUGCUGACUCUCUAUGGUCCCACUUCUUAGCCUAAGAUCACCUGUGCCCUAGAGAGUUGUACCUACUUCGCCUGGUGACUGUGGACCAGCUCUGCAGGAAGCAAUUUACCAAAUGUCUCUGCGAUCCAGUGGUCAGCAAUUACACCUUCUUCAGUGUGGUCAUAGCCUCUUUCCAAAUUUGUCCUUCCUUAACUACUCUCCCUGUUUUCAUGUUUAUAGUUGUUCUCUUAUCAUUGUUUAAUAAUUUUUAUGUUAAAUUUCCCAUGUUUAAAUUACUAAGUCGAUAUUGUCUCUUGAUUGUACCCAGGCCAAUAAAUGGUACUAUAAAUAUUGUGUUUAUAUUUCAAUAUACAUUGUUUUAAGGUGACUCCCAUGGAGUUUAUAAGCAAGAUAAUGCUUGAGCAAAAUCUAGUACAUUGCAAUAACCUAGGUGACCACAUCAUUUCUCGUGCAAUAAUCAUUUUUAUGUCUCAUAAGAUAUAUGAAUAUAUUAUAAAUUAGAAACAGGAAUAAUUAAACAGAAAACAAUAGCAUAUGACAUGGCAAAGGCAAUAAAAUAAAUAUAUAGGCAAUAUAGGAGCAACUAUGAAAGACUAGGACUUGCAAUAUCAUAUAAAGGAAUUUAAGAACCGAAAUUGAGUAGUCAUUCUUGUUAACAGUGUAUUCAUUUUGUUUUCAUAAUCUUAUUAUCAUGCUGUAACUGUGCUAUAAAAGAGAUAUUGACAAAGACAUGCUUCAGUUAAGGCAGUUUACAUAUGAGCAAAAAAUUUUGGAAACAUUGGAAUUGUUAGUAUAA
rnacentral:lncRNA from 1 species